GUGAAAGAUACCAGCUUGACAGCGGUUUUCUAUUUAUACAAAGCAGAGGUAAAGUCCAGGCACUGGUAGUGCAAGCUUCCUCACACUGCCUGACAAAUGUGCCUCAAGCCCGAACUGGAAGGACCACCAAAAGCAGUGAAAAGAAAGCUCAGCCUCCAUGUCUAGUCAAGUCUCAGCUUGU
ensembl:misc_RNA